rnacentral:rRNA from 1 species
UGGGGAAUAUUGCACAAUGGGCGAAAGCCUGAUGCAGCGACGCCGCGUGAGGGAUGACGGCCUUCGGGUUGUAAACCUCUUUCAGUAGGGACGAAGCGCAAGUGACGGUACCUGCAGAAGAAGCACCGGCUAACUACGUGCCAGCAGCCGCGGUAAUACGUAGGGUGCGAGCGUUGUCCGGAAUUACUGGGCGUAAAGAGCUCGUAGGCGGUUUGUCACGUCGUCUGUGAAAUCCUAGGGCUUAACCCUGGACGUGCAGGCGAUACGGGCUGACUUGAGUACUACAGGGGAGACUGGAAUUUCUGGUGUAGCGGUGGAAUGCACAGAUAUCAGGAAGAACACCGGUGGCGAAGGCAGGUCUCUGGGUAGUAACUGACGCUGAGGAGCGAAAGCAUGGGUAGCGAACAGG